CUAAAGUGACUUGAAAUCUUCCUUGAUUCCUUGGUGCCCCCAGCUGGGUAGCAGCGUUGGCUUGCCCCACCUUGGCAGCACGGAGAAGCUGGAGGACACAGCCUGCCCUCCCUGCAAGGGGUGUUUUCUGCAGAUGGAUGCUACAGCUGCACCAUUUAACCCACUGUCAGCAGUGGGUGUGAUGUCCCCUUCCCUGCCCAGCGCAGGCGCACGCUCUGCUGUGAACUCGAUGCAGCCAUCGGAGCCGAUCAGAAGGAAAAAGGGGUCAGGAGAAGCGCUCCAGGAGGGCACAGCAGGGGCUAGCAAGAAACAAAUGAGUUUGCCUCCCCCUGCUGCCAGCUAAAGACACCGUUUUGCUAUUGAGUUGUCAUUUCCCUUGAUGGACCAGGAGUGCAAGUACUCAGCAGCCAAGACUUGAGGCAGAGGCUCAGGCUGGCUCAGGUAAGGACUGCCGGUUGGGAUCUCCAAGGCACAGAACGUUUCUCAGAGCACGACACCUCCAGGCAGGCUGUGGAACCUCCCCAUUAAAUCCAUUUUUGUACUUUAGAGAAGGUCCAUUGCUGUGAGCUUGCAAAAAGCAGGUCAUACCAGGGACUACCGGAACGGCCACCCUGAAAGCACAUGGCUUUAUGUUGUUUCUCUUUAUUACAAGCUCACAUGCACAAUGGCUUGUGGGAGUAUGGUAUAUGACCAGCCAUCCCGCUAACCAGUGCCGAUGUGACCUGUGUGGCACCAAGCUAUCACACUGGUAACCGCCCAGAACUUAGGCGUGUAGGCCUGCCCAACGGGAGGAUGCAACAGCUCUGACCAUUUAAUAUGAAUCUGCAAUUUAGAAGCAAUGGGAUUUAAAGCAUCUUUGUGGUAUUCAGAGUUAGCUGAGUAUCAUCAAACUGCUGGGAAACUACUCCAAGCAAACCAAAGCUUCAGGGGGAGGAGGGGACCGAUUCUGACUUGUCUGAGCCUCUGUGUGCUGUGCAUGACCUACCAGACCAGGCAGA